AUACCUUUCUCGGCCUUUUGGCUAAGAUCAAGUGUAGUAUCUGUUCUUAUCAGUUUAAUAUCUGAUACGUGGGUCAUCGAUUCACAUGAUAUUAAAUUAAUUUUUUUAAGGGGAGGGCCAAUAACAGUAGCUUGCUAUUGGGGUUCUCAUGCGUCGCCCAAGCGUUGCACUACAGCCUGGGCCCGGCGCACCCCAC
rnacentral:snRNA from 1 species